GGCGAACGGGUGAGUAACACGUGGGUGAUCUGCCCUGCACUCUGGGAUAAGCCUGGGAAACUGGGUCUAGUACCGGAUAGGACCAUGCUUUAGUGUGUGUGGUGGAAAGCUUUUUCGGUGUAGGAUGAGCCCGCGGCCUAUCAGCUUGUUGGUGGGGUAAUGGCCUACCAAGGCGGCGACGGGUAGCCGGACUGAGAGGUUGGUCGGCCACAUUGGGACUGAGAUACGGCCCAG
rnacentral:rRNA from 1 species